UACGUAGGGUGCGAGCGUUAAUCGGAAUUACUGGGCGUAAAGCGUGCGCAGGCGGUUCGCAAAGUCUGAUGUGAAAUCCCCGGGCUUAACCUGGGAACUGCACUUGUGACUGCAUGGCUGGAGUACGGCAGAGGGGGAUGGAAUUCCGCGUGUAGCAGUGAAAUGCGUAGAUAUGCGGAGGAACACCGAUGGCGAAGGCAAUCCCCUGGGCCUGUACUGACGCUCAUGCACGAAAGCGUGGGGAGCAAACAGG
rnacentral:rRNA from 1 species